UACGUAGGGUGCGAGCGUUAAUCGGAAUUACUGGGCGUAAAGCGUGCGCAGGCGGUUUUGUAAGCCAGACGUGAAAUCCCCGGGCUUAACCUGGGAACUGCGUUUGGAACUGCAAGACUAGAGUGUGUCAGAGGGAGGUGGAAUUCCGCGUGUAGCAGUGAAAUGCGUAGAUAUGUGGAGGAACACCGAUGGCGAAGGCAGCCUCCUGGGAUAACACUGACGCUCAUGCACGAAAGCGUGGGGAGCAAACAGG
rnacentral:rRNA from 1 species